UUUAUGGAGAGUUUGAUCCUGGCUCAGGACUAACGCUGGCGGCGUGCCUAAUACAUGCAAGUCGAACGGUCAUGCAUUUGUAGCAAUAUGAGUGCAUGGUAGUGGCGAACGGGUGAGUAACACGUGGAUAACCUACCUUUAUGUGGGGGAUAACUCCGGGAAACUGGGGCUAAUACCGCAUGACAUCAUUCUGGGGCAUCUCAGGAUGAUCAAAGUCGUAAGACGCAAAAAGAUGGAUCCGCGUCCCAUCAGCUAGUUGGCGGGGUAAUGGCCCACCAAGGCUUUGACGGGUAGCCGGACUGAGAGGUCGAUCGGCCACAAGGGGACUGAGACACGGCCCCUACUCCUACGGGAGGCAGCAGUAGGGAAUUUUGGUCAAUGGGGGAAACCCUGAACCAGCGACGCCGCGUGGGUGAUGAAAUCCUUCGGGAUGUAAAACCCUUUUCAUCGGGACGAAAUAAAAAUGACGGUACCGGUGGAAUAAGCCUCGGCUAACUCCGUGCCAGCAGCCGCGGUAAUACGGGGGAGGCAAGCGUUGUCCGGAAUCACUGGGUGUAAAGGGCGUGUAGGCGGGCCUUUAAGUCGAUCUGUUAAAUCUCUCC
rnacentral:rRNA from 1 species